rnacentral:rRNA from 1 species
AUUGAACGCUGGCGGCAUGCCUUACACAUGCAAGUCGAACGUGAAGGCGGGGCAACCCGCAAGUAGAGUGGCGGACGGGUGAGUAAUACAUCGGAACGUGUCCAGUAAUGGGGGAUAACCUAGCGAAAGUUAGGCUAAUACCGCAUACGAUCUGCGGAUGAAAGCGGGGGAUGCGGCACUAAAGGCUUUUGGCGAAGGUGGCCAAAGGUGAGUCAAGAGCUUUUAGUGCNGCACCUCGCGUUAUUGGAGCGGCUGAUGUCUGAUUAGCUAGUUGGUGAGGUAAAGGCUUACCAAGGCGACGAUCAGUAGCUGGUCUGAGAGGACGGCCAGCCACACUGGGACUGAGACACGGCCCAGACUCCUACGGGAGGCAGCAGUGAGGAAUAUUGCGCAAUGGGCGAAAGCCUGACGCAGCGACGCCGCGGU